rnacentral:rRNA from 1 species
AACGAACGCUGGCGGCAUGCCUAACACAUGCAAGUCGAACGAAACCUUCGGGUCUAUUGGCGCACGGGUGCGUCACGCGUGGGAACCUGCCCUUAGGGUCGGAAUAACUCCCCGAAAGGGGUGCUAAUACCGGAUAAUGUCUUCGGCCCAAAAAUUUAUCGCCUUUGGUUGGGCCCUCGUUGGAUUAGCUAGUUGGUAGGGUAAAAGCCUACCAAGGCGACGAUCCAUAGCUGGUCUGAGAGGAUGAUCAGCCACACUGGGACUGAGACACGGCCCAGACUCCUACGGGAGGCAGCAGUGGGGAAUAGUGGACAAUGGGCGAAAGCCUGAUCCAGCAAUGCCGCGUGAGUGAUGAAGGCCUUAGGGUUGUAAAGCUCUUUUACCCGGGAUGAUAAUGACAGUACCGGGAGAAUAAGCUCCGGCUAACUCCGUG